AUCCGAGCCACAGAUAAAAAAGCAGCAACAGAGUCACCUAACUCAGUAUCCUGGAGCCAUACACCCUCCAAGACCCACAUUGAAUGCCAAGCACUUUCCAGGAGUUGCUAAUGUCUUAGGAGCCACACAUUCACCUGGGGCCACCAAUGCUGUGACUGACUCAAUAAGGAGCUACAGCUGCUGUGUUGGUUUCAAGACGGAAUAAAGAUCUGACUGCAGAUGGCAUUUACGAGCAUGGCCACCCAGAACUACUCAGCCGACCUGGAUUAUUAUACGGGUUCUAGUUCUGUGUUGCUGCCAUACGACAACCCGUUUAACCGCACAGAAACCAUUCGUGAAAAAAGUCACACCUGGCAAUUUGCUCAAACUUUCCUGACAGCAUUUUUCGGCAUUGUAUUCUGCAUCGGCACAGUGGGUAAUGCCUUAGUCAUCCUCAUCUUCUGGAAAUACAGAUACAGGAAGAGCAUCACAGACAGAUACCUGCUGCACCAGACCAUUGCUGAU